ACGACCUUACUUGAACAGGAUGUGUUCUAUAGGCUCGUAUCUCUGUAUCCGUGAGUUCUAAGGAUACAGUAACCUAAGUCAAGGAGGAAGAAGAAGAUGAAGGGUGGGGAAGAACUCAUCUUCCCCAAACCCUAAACGAUUUGGGGAAGAUGAGUUGCAGGUUUUUUUUUUUUUUUCUUUCCAGGUAAGGUGAUUUUGGUCAGUUUAUCC